UGUACAUGUCCAACUGGCAGGUGUCAUCUGACCUUGACCUCAUUUUCAUGGUUCAGUGGUUAUAGUUAAGUUUUUGUGUUUUGGUCCGUUUUUCUUAUACUUUAUCCAAUAGGUCUACUAUAUUUGGUGUAUGGAAUGAUUGUAAGGUGUACAUGUCCAACUGGCAGGUGUCAUCUGACCUUGACCUCAUUUUCAUGGUUCAGUGGUUAUAGUUAAGUUUUUGUGUUUUGGUCCGUUUUUCUUAUACUUUAUCCAAUAGGUCUACUAUAUUUGGUGUAUGGAAUGAUUGUAAGGUGUACAUGUCCAACUGGCAGGUGUCAUCUGACUUUGACCUCAUUUUCAUGGUUCAGUGGUCAAAGUUAAGUUUUUGAGUUUUGGUCUUUUUUCUUAUACUAUUAUGCAAUAAGUCAACUAUAUUUGGUGUAUGGAAAUAUUCUAUGAUGUACAUGUCAGUCUCGCAGGUUUUAUUUGACCUUGACCUCAUUUUCACAGUUCAUUGCUCAGUGUUAAGUUUAUGUGUUUCAGUCUGUUUUUCUUAAACUAUAAGCAAUAGGUCAGCUAUAUUUGUUGUAUGGAAGGAUUGUAAGCUGUUCAUGUCUGCCUGGCAUGGUUCAUCUGACUUUGACCUCAUUUUCACGAUUCAUUGGUCAAUGUUUAGUUUUCUUGGUUAAGUCUAUUUCUUAGAAACUAUAAGCAAUAGGUCAACUAUAUUUAGUGUAUUGAAUGAUUGUAAGGUGUACAUGUAUUUCUUGUUUGGUUUAUAUGACCUUGACUUCAUUUUCUUGGAUCAUGUUAAGUUUAUGUAAUAGUUGUAGUAAAGCUUUCAUUUAGGACUAUCAACAUAAUAUCAAUGGUUAGUAAAGAAGGCGAGACAUUUCAGCGUGUCCACUCUUGUAUU